rnacentral:rRNA from 1 species
AGAGUUUGAUCCUGGCUCAGGACGAACGCUGGCGGCGUGCUUAACACAUGCAAGUCGAGCGAUGAAGUUCCUUCGGGAACGGAUUAGCGGCGAACGGGUGAGGAACACGUGAGGAAUCUGCCUUCUACUCUGGGAUAACUCCGGGAAACCGGGGCUAAUACCGGAUAUGAAACCUGAUGGCAUCAUCGGGUUUGGAAAGUUUUUCGGUAGAAGAUGACCUCGCGGCCUAUCAGCUUGUUGGUGAGGUAAUGGCUCACCAAGGCGACGACGGGUAGCCGGCCUGAGAGGGCGACCGGCCACACUGGGACUGAGACACGGCCCAGACUCCUACGGGAGGCAGCAGUGGGGAAUAUUGGGCAAUGGAGGAAACUCUGACCCAGCGACGCCGCGUGCGGGAUGAAGGCCUUCGGGUUGUAAACCGCUUUCAGCAGGGAAGAAGCGAAA